UAGGACGCGAGCGUUAUCCGGAAUUACUGGGCGUAAAGGGCCAGCAGGCGGCUAGGUAAGUUGUGCGUGAAAGCCUCGUGCUCAACGCGAGGAAGCCGGACAAUACUGUCUAGCUGGAGGGCAUCAGAGGGGAGUGGAAUUCCCGGAGUAGCGGUAAAAUGCGCAGAUAUCGGGAGGAACACCGAUGGCGAAGGCAACUCCCUGGGGUGUACCUGACGCUAAGUGGCGAAAGCUAGGGGAGCGAACAGGAUUAGAGACCCUGGUAGUCCUAGCUGUAAACGCUGGGUGCUAGGUGUGGGGCGUAGAAGCUCUGUGCCGGAGCGAACGCGAUAAGCACCCCGCCUGGGAACUACGGUCGCAAGGCUAAAACUCAAACGAAUUGACGGGGCCCCGCACAAGCAGCGGAGCGUGUGGUUCAAUUCGAUGCUACACGAAGAACCUUACCUGGGUUUGACAUGUACGUGGUAGAGAAGCGAAAGCGGAUUGACCCUUCGGGGAGCGUACACAGGUGCUGCAUGGCUGUCGUCAGCUCGUGCCGUGAGGUGUCGGGUUAAGUCCCGUAACGAGCGCAACCCUUGCCCUUAGUUACAAGUGUCUAGGGGGACUGCCGGCGGGAAGCCGGAGGAGGGUGGGGAUGACGUCAAGUCAGCAUGGCCCUUAUGUCCAGGGCUACACACACGCUACAAUGGUCAGUACAAAGGGUAGCGAAGCCGCGAGGUGGAGCGAAUCUCAGCAAAGCUGAUCGUAGUUCGGAUUGCAGGCUGCAACCCGCCUGCA
rnacentral:rRNA from 1 species